AUGGGCAUUGACAACAAAAAGGAAUUCUAUUGCAAACCCGAAGUCAACCGCUUAUAUGCAUCUGUUAUUUUGCACGCAAGGCGCAGUGCAGAAGAAUCACCCGAUACGGAUAACAGCCCAAGACUCAUCGAAUUCGAGGGAUACUUUGUAAUCUUGAGGGAGCUCGCAGAGUCCAUGAAGUGUGGUGGUUUCGUCGUUUCGCAUAUUUUCCAAGUUGGGUUACAGUCUAUAAUUUACAACUUGCCAGCAGACUCAAAGAAGGUUAUCAUGCCAGUUAAAUUCUCGGUCAGGUUACAACAGAUGAUAUGGAAUACAAAAGAGAUGACUGCCAGGUUUAACAAGUCAAAUCACUUGGACCGAAAAGACAUGAUUAUGUCUACUAUCCUAGAGAACAUUGACCCAGAAAAACCAAUAUCGGGGAAUCAUUACUGGGCGUUCAAUUUGAACAUAAGGGACAAGAGGUUUGAAGUCCUUGAUUCCUGGAGGACACUAGAUAAUCCUGUCUUGGACAAGAACACUAGGUUGAUAGCAGCAGCUGUUCGUAGUUUAUGGGAGCAUCAUUAUGGCCACUCACGUGUUGUGCUGGAUAAGUUUCUGCUAGUCAACAUCGAUGUCCCGAGGCAGAACAAUGAGUAA
rnacentral:rRNA from 1 species